rnacentral:rRNA from 1 species
AAUUAUUAUUAUUAAUUUUUAAUUAGAAGUGAAAUAUUAAACGAUUUUAAAUAUAUCUAGUUUUUUUAGAAUUGAAUUAAAUUCAGCUUUAAAAUUUUUUGAAAUAAAUUAAAUAAAUUUAUUUAUGAAUUAAAUAUUUUAAAGUAAAUAUAUUCGGGAUAAAUUGAUUAUAUGAGUUAUAAAUUAAUUUUAAUUUAUUUUAAAAGUAAUUAUAAAAUUAUAUUUCUUUUUAAAAAAUGUUUUAAUUUAUAUUUUUAAAUUUAUAUAGUAUAAUUUAAUUUUUAUUUUAAUAAUUUAUAAAAAUUUAAUAUUAAAUUAUUUUAUUUUAAAUAUAAUGAUUAUAUAAGUAAAUAUUAAUAAAAUGAAAUAAAUAAUUAUAAAAUUUUAAAAUUUAGAUUUAAGGAAUUAGGCAAAUAUUUUUAAAAUAAAAAUUUAUAUUUACCUGUUUAUCAAAAACAUGUCUUAUUGAUUUAAAUAAUAAGUUUAUUCUGCCCAUUGAAAUAGAAAUUUUAAAAGGCUGCAGUAUAUUAACUGUACAAAGGUAGCAAAAUAAAUAGUUUUUUAAUUGAAAACUUGAAUGAAAGAAUUAAUAAAAUAUAUUCUGUCUCAAAUUUAAUUGAUUUAUUAAAUUUAAAUAAAAAGUUAAAAUGCUUUUAUAAUUUUAUUAGACGAUAAGACCCUAAGAAUUUAAUAAUUUUAUUUUAUUAAUUAAAUUUUAUAUUUAAUUAAUUAAUAAAAUAAAAUUUUUUUAUUGGGAGGGUAAUUAAAUUUUUAAACUUUAAUUUUUAAUAAA